ACGGCCAUACCAUGCUAAAUAUACCGGUAUACAUUAGAUCACCGAAGUCAAGCAUCAUUGGGCGCGGUCAGUACUUUGGUGGGUGACCACCUGGGAACACCGCGUGCCGUU
rnacentral:rRNA from 1 species